CCUACGGGCGGCAGCAGUGGGGAAUAUUGCACAAUGGGGGAAACCCUGAUGCAGCGACGCCGCGUGAGUGAAGAAGUAUUUCGGUACGUAAAGCUCUAUCAGCAGGGGAGAAAAUGACGGUACCUGACUAAGAAGCCCCGGCUAACUACGUGCCAGCAGCCGCGGUAAUACGUAGGGGGCAAGCGUUAUCCGGAUUUACUGGGUGUAAAGGGAGCGUAGACGGCAGCGCAAGUCUGGAGUGAAAUCCCAUGGCUUAACCAUGGAACUGCUUUGGAAACUGUGCAGCUAGAGUGCAGGAGAGGUAAGCGGAAUUCCUAGUGUAGCGGUGAAAUGCGUAGAUAUUAGGAGGAACACCAGUGGCGAAGGCGGCUUACUGGACUGUAACUGACGUUGAGGCUCGAAAGCGUGGGGAGCAAACAGGAUUAGAUACCCUAGUAGUC
rnacentral:rRNA from 1 species